GUGGCUGUAGCUCAGCUGGUUAGAGCGUCCGGUUGUGGUCCGGAAGGUCGGGGGUUCAAAUCCCCUCAGCCACCCCA
rnacentral:tRNA from 1 species